ACUAAGAAAAAUACAAUAUUGCAUUCUGUAAUGGAUAAAGGAACCUAAAAAUACAGAUUUCCAAUUGAAAAUAAAAAUCACGCAGAAUGAGAAACAACCAUGGAGGGACAACCGUUUUGCUCUGGAGGAGAAUUAUUACUCACACACCUUUUUCUGAAGCUGUUUUUACAACAUGGUCUUAGGUUUUCAGUCUUUAAAGCUGCAAAAGUCAGAUACUGAAAAGCUCCAAUGAAAGUGGGCAUCAGACAACCUCAUAAUAUGAAUGUAACAGCGUGGCAAAUAUUGAUGGCUCAUGAAUAUGUGGGUGCCUCUGGAGGGAAUUUGACCACUGAGAUGAAUGAAAGUACAUAUACUGAUAAGUCUCUCCUUUACUUUUACCUUCAAGGAGAGAAAAGGAACUAUCAGAGGAGAUGAGAAGAGAAAUACUCAAUAGUGCAUUCUUAACUGGUGAAAAUCACACCAAAUACUUUUGAGUAUGCCCCACAAUCUGAAAUUGUCUUUUUUCUUUACUGAUUUCCAUUUCUGUUGCAUCUUCCCAUUUAGAAUGUUGUAUCUAAGAUGGCAAGGAUUUUGUAUGUUUUGUUUUUUAUUUUAACUCACUUCCUAAAAUUGUGCAAGGCCAUUGUAGGUGCUCAAUAAAAUAUUACGCAAUGAAUGAA